GAUGACAAUACUCCGGAAUCUCUGUAUAUUCUGUGAUGAUGUGUUGAACCCUUUUCCAGCUGAUGACUGUAAAUAUGGAAU